AUGAACUCUACACGGACCUUGCUUUUUGAUAAACCAUCAUGCAUCAUGACACAAAAGGGAUGCAAUAUCAGUAUCACAUCAGGACAUUACAAUCCCUUUCCUAUUUUUACACAUACGUUCAACAUAAGUCAAGUCCAUCAAACUGAACAAAAAGAUAUUGUUAUGCAGUCAUACUCAUGUCUAAACGAAAUCCAAGCAUAUAUACCUCAAUACAUACCACAAGCUGUCAUCUAUACAUUACAAACUCAGAAAAAAAACACCGUCUCCCUUAUUUAUUAA